rnacentral:rRNA from 1 species
AUUGAACGCUGGCGGCAGGCCUAACACAUGCAAGUCGAGCGGAUGAAGGGAGCUUGCUCCUGGAUUCAGCGGCGGACGGGUGAGUAAUGCCUAGGAAUCUGCCUGGUAGUGGGGGAUAACGUCCGGAAACGGGCGCUAAUACCGCAUACGUCCUGAGGGAGAAAGUGGGGGAUCUUCGGACCUCACGCUAUCAGAUGAGCCUAGGUCGGAUUAGCUAGUUGGUGGGGUAAAGGCCUACCAAGGCGACGAUCCGUAACUGGUCUGAGAGGAUGAUCAGUCACACUGGAACUGAGACACGGUCCAGACUCCUACGGGAGGCAGCAGUGGGGAAUAUUGGGCAAUGGGCGAAAGCCUGAUCCAGCCAUGCCGCGUGUGUGAAGAAGGUCUUCGGAUUGUAAAGCACUUUUAGUUGGGAGGAAGGGCAGUAAGUUAAUACCUUGAUGUUUUGACGUUACCAAAAGAAUAAGCAACGGCUAACUUCGUG